AACAAACAGUUGAUUCGCGUAUUUGAGGAGUUCGUUUUAUUGUAUCUGGAUGACUAAAACCAUACCAACGCAGUGGUAAUAUUCCCCAAGACAAACCCCGAUAGGCAUGUUACAGUCGCUAUGUGAAGGUCCAUAUUCUCGUAAAACGGUUGUACCUUCAUACUUACUUCUCUUACGAAAAAAUGGAUCCUUUUCAUUCUCCAGAAAUCAACAAGCGAACUCGAAUUUUGAAAAUGUCAUAAUAAUGUGAAUAACAAUGCAAGACUUUUAAACUUGACAAAAUCAAAAACGAUUACUUUGCAAAACAUAUCGAAGCUAAACUGUCACAUACCGCUAUCUAUUGAAGCUAAACUGUCACAUACCGCUAUUUAUCGAAGCUAAACUGUCACAUACCGCUAUAUUAAACGAAUAGUUUUUGUUAAAGCUGUACAGAACGUGAGUGAGAGAAGAAAAAUGAAAAUGCCGUGCAUCAUUUGUUUUAUUACAUCAAACACCCGAAGUUGGUUUUCCAUAAACAAUUAAUGCACGUGAAUUCUCACACGCCACACUUAUAACAUUGAGAGUGUACAGCAUUUCCGCACAUUCAACCAAUAGCCUUAACAGUAAGUGUAGUAAAAUUUCCUCACACGAAACUCAUAAUAAAUAGUUUUAUACAAAAAGCAUGAGUAUAUAAUUGCUCUCAUAUAACUAAAUACAUUUUUCCAAAAGCCUGUAAUUACAAAUAAAUUAACAUACAAUGUACUACUGUUUAUACAGUGCCCUAUCUGGCCAGAUUUGUUAGUUAGUAAACAACGGUUGGUUGUACAGGAUUAAGAGUCCUAAGGAUUUGCCUGCAUGCAUGUUGUGUAUGCGUACAUGUGUGCAUUUGUGCCGGGGACAGGGUACAUGUUGGUGUAGUUGCCUACUUGUGAUAGCACGGAUCUGAUGCCGACUUUAUAGUGUUACCCAACUGAAGGCACACUGCACUGUAUUCCGCCAGAUCACAUUAUACUGAUAACGGGUGAACCAGUUGUUGCCAUUUCCUUAAAUGCUAUCAAUUAAUCAGGGAAUAGCAAAUACCAUUAUUUAGAACUGGGGAGAGAACCCAUUGCCUUACUCACCUGGGGAAACGUUCAACAUUAAAGCCAAAAGUGAGGUAUUGUCAAGCAAUACGCUAGAAAAUAAAAGGUAGAAAGAAAUAUAAGAUCCGAAACAUUGCAUUGGGUGCGGCAGACAUAUUUUGGUCGUUAUGGUGUCCCCAAGUAAAGGGCACGAAAGCAAAUCCCCAAUUCUGCAGGGGGUUCCAGCAUAAGUAUAAGUCGCCUCUUACAAUCAUGCAGCGGGUUACUGUAUGUGCAUUCUUUUCACGAUCUUCGACCGGCAUGCGUGCCCAACAACGGUUAAGUCGUCCAGGGCCCGAUAACAAUAAUCAGGGCCACUUACAAAGCCUUUAACACUAAAUUAAAUGAUUACAAAACUCGUUCAUGUACAGGGGUGAAGGUAAGGGAAUUUCCACCUAAGGGUUUUCAUAUUGGGUAAAACCCGAGCUACCGAGGGUUCUACAACACUUUGAAAAUCCCUGUGGUGGGAUUCCGUAUCCUACAUCACUUGGCAUUAAAACGUAAAUUUCUCUCAAUCCAAUCUCUAAAAUCAACUCGAAAUCCCCAAAACAACGUUGCAGUAUCAGCAUUGCAGCCAAGAAAUGUUCCGAUUUGUGUGUCUUCACUCAAAAAAGGUUACAAACUGCACUCCCAAGUCCACAGCAAAAUUGUCAUGUAAAAUUAUAUAUCCCCCCCCCCAUUUAAAUUUAAAAUUUAGUGAUGCAGGCAAUCUUUUCGUAGAUAUUCGAAAAUCUUUGACAAAUAAUUUGACCAAUGUUUUUAUAACAAACUCAUCUUUUCUCGAAUAUGUCUAAAAUCAGCACAUUCGAUCAAUGUGAGAGGCACAGUCAUAAUUAUGUUCGACACAUGAAUGGUAAAAUACGGAUCCUCUCGCCGAACCUAGUACCCAUUAGUACAAUGUGUUUGUCGUGUCCGAUGUCGUCCUUCCUCAAGUCUUAUGGGGAUGUUUGAGCCAGAACAAACCACGAUAGAGCCAUACAAACAUUGCAAAAUAUCGAUCAUUUAAGGCUCAAACUUAUGUAAAACUUUGAAUCAUAUUGGUAACGGAAGAACUACCAUCGUAAACACGCAUUUCAUUCAUUUUGUCCCUCAUUCAUGGUAAAUCCGUCAUUCUUUACAAACAGAUAAUUUGCAUGUCUUAAUUAUUCAUGAAAAUAAAUCCCUCGUCGCAAUACUGAAAUAGGGAGACGAUCGUACAAACAAAGCAUUAUGCACAAAUAAUCACAAUUAUACCAUUAAAUAUCUCUGUUAAAGGGCCAGUCUCAUUAGUCUAACGCAUUACCUCUGUAAAGGGAUCUGUCUUAGUAAUAGAAUAUGGCAACUUUGUUGAGAUGUCUGUCUGUAAUAAUCUAAUAGGGUAACUCUGUUGAGGUGUCUUCUUCAGUGAGCAUUGGCUUAGUAAACUGAAACGUGUUUCGCCUAAGAAAGUCAAUACGAUUUUGUAUCGAUUGCACAUAUUCUCUCAUGUUAUCUUUUGCAAGUUCGAGAGCUCGUUCAGCAUAUCUUAAGGCAUCCUGUGGAAGACUUUUCCUAAACAUGCGAUCGCAAUUUGCAAUGCUGAAAUACAUUUCGAGAAUAGGACAAAAGAUAGAAUUCGACUCUUCAUACCGUUUCAUAAUGUCAUCUGCCACUUUUGCGUCUUUCUUCUGAAGAGAUAUUUUGCGGCCCAUGCUUAGUCCGUUGCAACCACAUCGCAACAGUAACACCACUAGCUGGAACUUUACAUAUGCAGCACCGUAUGUUCUGUCGUGACCUUUGUCCUCAUUGAAAUGUUGUAGAGAUCGGUUGUAACUUCUCAAAGUUCGUUCUCGUAUUAUCUCUUCUGGCUGGCUUUCUCCUUCAUUUUUAUCGGUGAUUAAGUCAAGUUGUAACGCAUUACUUCUGCCCUCGUUGUAGUAAACCCAAGCUGCACCUCUUCCAGUGCAAUGUAAAGGGUUUGACUCAACAAUCAUUAUUCCUUCGUCGUUUAUGUCUUUAAAUUUACCAAACCUCCUCUGCAAGAUAUACCGGCGUGUUAGUGGAGAUAAUAAUAGUAGCUGUGAAUACAUAGGAUCUUUCGUUUUUGGCACAAGGCUCUUUGAGAGAGCAAGCAAGUUUUCUUCUGAAGUACAGUCUAAUUUUUGCUGUGCAAACAAAAUUUGCAUAUAUGCUACAGUAAACAAUGUAUCAGCACAAUCAUGCCUAUCUGCUUUUAGUUUUUCACAUUCUACUGCGAACUGAAUAUGCUGUCCAUUGUUGUACAUGUCAGCCAGCUUAUCGAAUGCUUUCUCCACAUAUUUGAUAUGUUUUCGUUCUGAUGAUAAUGGUUUGGGUACAACUGUCAUCGCGGCAAGUCGUUUGGUCUCUUUUCUCAUUCGUUUAUACUGCUUACUUGCUUGUGAUUUUCUCGGUCGUUUAUACGGCUCAUCUCCCCGUGUUUUUCGCCGUUUUCGUGGUGAUCCUGUCCUAUAUAUUUGAGUUCCUUUGAGUUGGUUUGAUAAUUCAGACAAUUCUGGUUUACUUGCGACAGCUUCUUUAAACAAAGAAAAUGCCUUUUCUCCCCGCGUUUUUAUGUAUUCCAGUAGUUGUCGCCUCCUGUCGUUCCGUGGUAUGUUUGUGUCAUCAUUAAGUGUACCAUGCUCAUCAAGUGUUAUUACUUCCUGUUCGUACAGAAAGUCAAUGAUCAGUCGAGGCUCAAGGCUUUUAAUCAAGUCUGAUUCCAUGGUGUCUUCAUUUUCUGAAGUGGAAAGCGGUGGUACGUACACUCCUGUUGAUGUUCAGCAUCACACCAGUAAUGGAGCGGGGGAAGCGCGUCUCCUUGUUUUGAUGCACAGCAUUCCACCAGCUAGGUGCAAGAUACCAGAGUAUGAAAACGACACUUACAUCGUCCAGAACGAAGGACAUCGUCAGCUUAUAGAUAUACACAUACCACCCCCUACUGAUACGAGUCUUAGAUACGAUCAAUGUCAUCUGUACUCUUAUAACUCGACCACUGUCAAGUUGGAUAAUUCUAGUCAGCCUAUCAUUGGCUACAAAAGUGCAUGUAGCGAGUGGGUCUAUAGCUAUGAUGUCUUCAGGGAAACAUUCACAUCGAAGCAUAAUCUUGUGUGUGACAACGGGUACCAAACGGCAUUGGCCAAAUCACUUUAUUUUGUUGGUGUGUUUGUCGGAGGUAUCAUUUUCGGCAAUUUGUCAGAUGCAUAUGGAAGAAAGACGAGUUUCUGCAUGGCCGUGAUAUCACUACUGAUUAGUACAGUUGCUUUGACAUUGUCUCCAUUUUACACAUUUUUCGCAGUGUGUAACAUCAUAGUAGGAGCGUCUACCGAGGGUAUAUACAUCACAGGAUAUGUGUUAGGACUAGAACUUGUGGGGCCUUCAAAGAGAGCAAUAGCCGGAACCUGUACCUGCUACUUCUUCGCUCUAGGUUUUGUAAUCGUUUCCAUGAUUGCGUACUUUGUUCGUCACUGGAGAUAUACCGGAAUUAUAUGUGCUGCUCCUGUAGCACUUAUCCUAUCCUACUGGUGGCUGCUUCAGGAAUCACCCCGAUGGCUGAUAUCCCGUGGACGAUACAGAGAGGCUGAAGUUAUCCUCAGAAAGAUUGCAAAAGUAAAUAAUUCAACCGUGGAUGAUACAUUUUUUGAGCAAUUAAACUAUGACAACAUCAUUCCCAUCCAGGCUAAGAAAAAGGAAUCAAUACUUUGGCACCUGUUUUCGUCACGCGUGCUGUUGAUGAGGACAUUAUUAAUUCUUUACAAUUGGUGUGCCCUUGGAAUGGUAUACUAUGGGUUAUCGCUCAACUCUGGAAAUCUCGGGGGAAACUUUUACCUGAAUUUCUGUGUAUCCGGUUUGAUGGAGUUUCCAGCUUACACUAUGACAGUAUUAUUACUGGACAGACUCGGGAGGAAAUGGCUUCACUGUCUGUGUAUGGUACUUGGAGGAGCGGCGUGCCUCUCUACCGUUUUUACUAUACUGUACCUGGAGGACAAGUACCAGUAUAUAACUAUAGUCCUAGCUAUGCUAGGAAAGCUUGGCAUUUCGGCAGCUUUCGCAGUUAUUUUCAUCUAUUCUGCCGAGUUGUUCCCAACAGUAGUAAGAAAUUCCGGACUAGGCGUUUGCUCAUGCGUCGCCCGAUUGGGUUCUAUGGCGGCGCCAUACAUAGUACAAUGGGGGAACGAUAUUGGUGGUAGGCUUGGAAAAGCAUUUCCAUUGGCGGUCUUCAGUGGACUGACCAUCGUAGCAGGUGUUCUUACUCUACAUUUACCAGAAACCCUAGGUCAGGAGCUACCGGAAACGAUAGCUGACGCCAAAUCGUUUGGGACAUCGUCGAUCAAAAGAAAAUCCAAAUCUGACGCCGGCCUGGAUUCUGGCCAAGCAACAAUAACUGAAGCUUUUGUAGAUAACGAAGAAAACCGUCACAUAUAAACACAUGACGGCUCCUGAGACAAAAACAUUAAGAAAAAAAGAAAAUUUACAGAACCAAAUUAUCUUCUCCAGUAUAGCAAUAUUUUGCUUGGGUGUUUCCUUUAUUCCGGUCGGCUUUCCGUACCGACUACGAGUUGGGAUUUUGUGCUGGUGUAUUGACGAUGUGCUGUGCUUUCUGUUUCACGUGUGACUUAAUACAGACUGUAAAUUUAGCAAAUUAGUAAAUAUCAAUGUUACUCGUUCAGUCAUAAAGCAAUCACAAUCACAGCAGAAAUGUUGUUUUGAUGCCUAUUUUCCAAUCUUGAAUUGAAUGAAAGUUUAUGAUUGCUAAUUUAGACUAGUUGCACCAUGUAUCCCAACAGACAAUGUCAUUUUGUUCAUAGUAGCAAGAUUCAGCUGUCAAAUUCUUAUCGUUGAUGUUCUUACAACCUCUCGCGAUUGUACAUAGGUCACACGUACAGAACACACGCCUAAUUUUCUAUUUACUGUUGCUGUCUUGUGAAAACUCUCCAUAACUUCCUUGAGACGUAUACAGCCCGAUAAUCUAAAGUAGUAUAAUGACCUAGAUUUUAACCUAGUGUAGCUCGAUUUCUGUGACAGCAUGGUAGAUAGACCUGGGACAAAAGGUAUUCUAGUAACCUUAGGUAGUCCAGAGACAAAAGGAAUUCUAGCUACCUUAGGUAGUCCGGAAACAAAAGGAAGUGUAUUUACCUUAGGUAGUCCAGAGACAAAAGGUAGUGUAGUUACCUUUGGUAGUCCAGAGACAAAAGGUAGUGUAGUUAUCUUUGGUAGUCCAAAGACAAAAGGUAGUGCAGUUACCUUUGGUAGUCCAGAGUCAAAAGGUAGUGCAGUUACCUUUGGUAGUCCAGAGACAAAAGGUAGUGUAGUUACCUUUGGUAGUCUAGAGACAAAAGGUAAUACAGUUACCUUUGGUAGUCCAGUGACAAAAGGUAGUGUAGUUAUCUUUGGUAGUCCAAAGACAAAAGGUAGUGCAGUUACCUUUGGUAGUCCAGAGUCAAAAGGUAGUGCAGUUACCUUUGGUAGUCCAGAGACAAAAGGUAGUGUAGUUACCUUUGGUAGUCCAGAGACAAAAGGUGGUGCAGUUACCUUUGGUAGUCCAGAGUCAAAAGGUAGUGCAGUUACCCUUGGUAGUCCAGAGACAAAAUGUAGUGUAGUUACCUUUGGUAGUCCAGAGACAAAAGGUAGUGCAGUUACCUUUGGUAGUCCAGAGAAGAAAGGUAGUGUAGUUACCUUAGGCAGACCUGAGACAAAAGGAAGUGUAGUUACCUUUGGUAGUCCAGAGACAAAAGGUAGUGAAGUUACUUUUGGUACUCCAGAGACAAAAGGUAGUGAAGUUACCUUUGGUAGUCCAGAGACAAAAGGUAGUGUAGUUACUUUUGGUAGUCCGGAGACAAAAGGUAGUGUAGUUACCUUAGGUAGACCUGAGACAAAAGGUAGUGUAGUUACCUUAGGUAGUCCAGAAACAAAAGGUAGUGCAGUAACCUUAAGUAGUCCGGAGACAAAAGGUAGUGUAGUUACCUUUGGUAGUUCAGAGACAAAAGGUAGUGUAGUUACCUUAAGUAGUCCAGAGACAGAAGGUAGUCUAGUUACCUUAGGUAGUCCAGAGACAAAAGGUAGUGUAGUUACCUUAGGUAGUUCAGAGACAAAAGGUAGUCUAGUUACCUUUGGUAGUCCGGAGACCUAUGUUAGCUCGUGACGAAGGGCAGUCAGGUUAUCUAAUCUUGCUCAAUGGAUAACAUAAGCUAGGCUCCCUUAGGAAGUUGGCAACUGUCAGUUUUGGUGAUCUUUAGAAGCUCAAUUGUCAUUGUUACCUCUAGAACUUUUGGCUACAGUUGGUUUACCUCGCUAACUUAGGUAAAUUUAAUCUUACGGGAGACAAACGCCCUUUGUUUUAAUAGAGACGAAUCCUGUGAGCAUGCAGCUCUGCAUGUACAAUUAAUGCUGAUGUACUUGUCUAUCAUACGUAUGUGUGGUACUUAGAGGACGGCGAAGUGUUAAGUAAACGUGCAUCAGAAGUUCGUAUGGUCCAAAGAGAACGGUGAAGUGUUAGCUUAACGUGUAUCAGAUGUUUGUAUGUCACAAAGAGAUCGGAGAAGUGUUAGAUUAACGUGUAUCAGAUGUUUGUAUGUCAAAAAGAGAACGGUGCAGUGUUAGCUUAACGUGUAUCAGAUGUUUGUAUGUCACAAAGAGAUCGGAGAAGUGUUAGAUUAACGUGUAUCAGAUGUUUGUAUGGCACAAAGAGAUCAUUUAAGUGUUAGCUUAACGUGUAUCAGAUGUUUGUAUGUCAAAAAGAGAACGGUGCAGUGUUAGCUUAACGUGUAUCAGAUGUUUGUAUGGCACAAAGAGAUCGGUGAAGUGUUAAGUAAACGUGUAUCAGAUGUUUGUAUGGCACAAAGAGAUCAUUUAAGUGUUAGCUUAACGUGUAUCAGAUGUUUGUAUGUCAAAAAGAGAACGGUGAAGUGUUAGCUUAACGUGUAUCAGAUGUUUGUAUGUCACAAAGAGAUCGGUGAAGUGUUAGCUUAACGUGUAUCAGAUGCUUGUAUGUCACAAAGAGAUCGGUGAAGUGUUAAGUAAACGUGUAUCAGAUGUUUGUAUGGCACAAAGAGAUCAUUUAAGUGUUAGCUUAACGUGUAUCAGAUGUUUGUAUGUCACAAAGAGAUCGGAGAAGUGUUAGAUUAACGUGUAUCAGAUGUUUGUAUGGCACAAAGAGAUCGGUGAAGUGUUAAGUAAACGUGUAUCAGAUGUUUGUAUGGCACAAAGAGAUCGGUGAAGUGUUAGCUUAACGUGUAUCAGAUGCUUGUAUGUCACAAAGAGAUCGGUGAAGUGUUAAGUAAACGUGUAUCAGAUGUUUGUAUGGCACAAAGAGAUCGGUGAAGUGUUAGAAGAGUCUUUGACUCAAAGGGUUUAUCGACCUGAAAUAAAAUCUUUUAUUAUUCUUAUUAUUAUUAGAAAGAUAAUUGUGUAGUGUUAAUUGAACGUGUAUCAGUAGUUUGUUUGUUAGAAAGAGAAUAGUUUAGCGUUAAUUAAACGUGUAUCAGAAGUUUGUUUGUUAGAAAGAGAAUGGUUUAGUGUUAAUCAAACGUGUAUCAGUAGUUUGUUUGUUAGAAAGAGAAUGGUUUAGUGUUAAUUAAACGUGUAUCAGUAGUUAGUUUGUUAGAAAGAGAAUGGUUUAGUGUUAAUCAAACGUGUAUCAGAAGUUUGUAUGCUAGAACAUUGUGUGGUGUUAACUAUACACUUGAAACAGGACUGAUAAAAUCAAUUGUUCAAUCAUCCAUUUACAAAUCUUAAUUGAGUUUGUAUAUAUGUAAUGAAUUAAAACUCAUCGAAUUGCAA
rnacentral:misc_RNA from 1 species